rnacentral:rRNA from 1 species
CCUACGGGUGGCAGCAGUGGGGAAUAUUGGACAAUGGGCGAAAGCCUGAUCCAGCCAUGCCGCGUGUGUGAAGAAGGCCUUCGGGUUGUAAAGCACUUUCAGUGGGGAAGAAAGCCUUGGGGCUAAUACCCUCGAGGAAGGACAUCACCCACAGAAGAAGCACCGGCUAACUCCGUGCCAGCAGCCGCGGUAAUACGGAGGGUGCGAGCGUUAAUCGGAAUUACUGGGCGUAAAGCGCGCGUAGGCGGUCUGAUAAGCCGGUUGUGAAAGCCCCGGGCUCAACCUGGGAACGGCAUCCGGAACUGUCAGGCUAGAGUGCAGGAGAGGAAGGUAGAAUUCCCGGUGUAGCGGUGAAUGCGUAGAGAUCGGGAGGAAUACCAGUGGCGAAGGCGGCCUUCUGGACUGACACUGACGCUGAGGUGCGAAAGCGUGGGUAGCAAACAGGAUUAGAUACCCUAGUAGUC